GGGCCCAUAGCUUAGUCCGGUGGAGUCUUGUGCCACGCUCGUGUGGUGCAGGCGCCGACAGCGUCAGGCUCAUAACCCGAUGGUCGCAGGUUCAAAUCCUGCUGGGCCCA
rnacentral:tRNA from 1 species